CAGGAUGAACGCUGGCGGCGUGCAUAACACAUGCAAGUCGAACGGCUAUCGAGCUGCUUUGGAUAAGUAGUGGCGGACGGGUGAGUAACGCGUGGGUAACCUGCCCUGUACAGGGGGAUAGCAGCUGGAAACGGCUGGUAAAACCGCAUAAAAACGGCAAUGCCGCAUGGCAUAACCGUCAAAUAUUCAUAGGUACAGGAUGGGCCCGCGUCUGAUUAGCUAGUUGGUGGGGUAAAGGCCUACCAAGGCGAGGAUGGGUAGCCGAACUGAGAGGUUGACCGGCCACACUGGGACUGAGACACUGCCCAGACUUCUACGGGAGGCUGCAGUCGAGAAUCAUUCACAAUGGACGAAAGUCUGAUGAUGCGACGCCGCGUGCGCGAUGAAAGGUCUUCGGAUUGUAAAGCGCUUUGAACAGGGAAGAAUGCCAUGUAUUUAAUAAAUAACAUGGAGGGACAGUACCUGACAAACAAGCCCCGGCUAAUUUCGUGCCAGCAGCUGC
rnacentral:rRNA from 1 species